AUCUAUGGCCGUGCUACCCUGAACAAGCCCGAUCCGUCUAAUCUUGGAAGUUAAGCAGGGUCGGGCCUGGUUAGUACUUGGAUGGGAGACCACUUAGGAAGACCAGGUGCUGUAGGCA
rnacentral:rRNA from 1 species